rnacentral:lncRNA from 1 species
GAUAAAACAGAGUCCCUGCUCUCCCAGAGUGCCCUUUGCAGGGGAGGAGACCGAGGAGAUGCAUGUAUAUUGUGAGUCAGGAAGCAAUACACACCUUCAGGAGACAGGAAUCUGGUUCGUGGAGAGCGAGCAUCCUAGAAGGUUCAAUGCGUGGGGACAGAGAGGACCUGGUUCAGGAGUCGUUUUCAGGUAUGGAAUCCCAUCUGAUGGAUGGUAGAUCUGCACUGUGUCACUCUAGCUAAGUGUUUGCAAAGAUCAAACGGAGCCAUGUACAGAGGACUCUGCCUGGUGUCUGGCCCCCAGGGCAGUGGAUAAGAGACUGCCUGACCUAGAUGACCUGGGACAAGUCGCUCAAGCGGUCAGUGCCUCAGUUUCCUCAUCUGUAAAAGGGGGCCAACCAAUAGCAUCCACAUCUAAAGUUUUCAUGAACAUUAAAUGCGUAAAUGGCAGUGUGGUUAGGAUGGCAAACGUUAGAUUCAAAUUCUGGCUCUAACACUUAAUUACUGUGUGAACUUGGGAAAAUUACUGAACAACUCUGAGUCUGUUAUUGGUUCUUAUUUGAAAGAAAAAAAAAGCAUGGUAAUAACAGGAUUCGUUGCAUUGGGCUGU